UACGUAGGUGGCAAGCGUUGUCCGGAAUUAUUGGGUGUAAAGCGCGCGCAGGCGGUCCUUUAAGUCUGAUGUGAAAGCCCACGGCUCAACCGUGGAGGGUCAUUGGAAACUGGGGGACUUGAGUGCAGAAGAGGAGAGUGGAAUUCCACGUGUAGCGGUGAAAUGCGUAGAGAUGUGGAGGAACACCAGUGGCGAAGGCGACUCUCUGGUCUGUAACUGACGCUGAGGCGCGAAAGCGUGGGGAGCAAACAGG
rnacentral:rRNA from 1 species